rnacentral:rRNA from 1 species
CCUACGGGGGGCAGCAGUGGGGGAUAUUGCACAAUGGGCGCAAGCCUGAUGCAGCGACGCCGCGUGAGCGAAGAAGUAUUUCGGUAUGUAAAGCUCUAUCAGCAGGGAAGAAAAUGACGGUACCUGACUAAGAAGCUCCGGCUAACUACGUGCCAGCAGCCGCGGGAAUACGUAGGGGGCAUGCGUUAUCCGGAUUUACUGGGUGUAAAGGGGGCGCAGACGGCGAUGCAAGCCAGGAGUGAAAGCCCGGGGCCCAACCCCGGGACUGCUCUUGGAACUGCGUGGCUGGAGUGCAGGAGGGGCAGGCGGAAUUCCUGGUGUAGCGGUGAAAUGCGUAGAUAUCAGGAGGAACACCGGUGGCGAAGGCGGCCUGCUGGACUGCAUCUGACGUUGAGGCCCGAAAGCGUGGGGAGCAAACAGGAUUAGAUACCCGAGUAGUC